rnacentral:pre_miRNA from 1 species
AAUAAGAUCAUUUUUUAGUUUUUUAAUACAAUAUUUUGACUCUUCGUCUUAUUUGAAUUUUUUUUACGAUUAAUAUUUUUAUUCUUACUAGAUGAUAAAACAUGAAUAGUACUUUAUGCGUGACUAAUUUUUUUUAAGCUUUUAUACACAUUUUUCAAAUAAAACGAAUGAUCAAACGUUGGACACGAAAAAAAAUGAAGUUAUU